UCAAGAUUACCCCUUGUUGACCUAGUCUUUUCCCAGUUAAUCUCAAUUUCUGAUAACUGGCUAAUGCUCAGUUACCAGCUGUUUGCGUUCACCCUGCAAUAUGCCAACAGGAACCAGUAAAGAGGUCUGUGCCAUCACACACAGAUCUCCAUCACCCACCAUUCUAAAAUGAAAGGCCUAGCUAAUUUUAUGUGCUGGAUUCAGUAACAUUUUUUAACACAACAUCUGAUUGUUUCUCUUCUGAUAGAUGUAGAUAUAUUGAAACAUAGAAUGUGACGGCAGAUAAGAACCAUUCGGCCCAUCUAGUCUGC